GAGAUCGCUGGGAGAAAAGAAAACGCGUCGUGAGCGGAGACAAAAGAGAGGGACAGAGUGCUCUCUUUUUCCUCCUCUCGCAUCUCCUUGUUUCCACCCCGACUGGCGGCUAGGGUUUCCGUCGGCGCCGCCACAGCCGCCGCUACCAUCCUUGCUCCGCCAUCUAUGGCCACCAGAGAAGGCGCCCUUCUGAGACCUGCUCUUGUUCAAACCUUCUCGUCUUGGCGUCAAGGCGUGCUAUUCUGCCUAUGUUUGCCACUGUGGCGGCGAGAUGAGGGGGAGGAAGGGAUGGCAUCGAGGUGUCGAUGGAGGCCCUAGCUCGAGGCGGCGAGAUGCAGAGAUGCGGGGUGGUGCGGAUGGAGAGGCAGCUUCAGAUCCGCGCGCAGCCGCCCGCACUCUCCUUCCUCUGCCGCCUUCCCUGUGGUCAGCAACCCUAGGAGGAGCUCGAGCCACAUCGGUGAAUGUUCUCUGCUAGGUUUGGUGCUACUACUCCGUCUUCGAUCCCAACCAUCUCGCACGUUCCCGAGAUCGUCGUCUUCCUGGCCGGGACGCCUGGUGAGAGCCUCUCUCCAUGCCCCAACUUCCUAAGCACAUACGUAUCUCCUAAUGGUGAAUCUUUGACUGAAUUUGUUACACACGACGUUUACUGAAACUGUCGUGGUCUGAAGAACAGCUUACUGAAAUUGUUCUAGUCUGAAAAACAGUUAUCUGAAUCUGUUGAAGUCUGAAAGUGUUAGUGUGAGCUGUCUGCAACUGUUGUAAUCUUGUAGACAGAGUAGGUCAGUUGAUUCAUCUCUUUUCAGCCUUAACAGAGAAGAUGGUGAUGAUAUCCGUUUGACUUAGCCCAUUUUGCUUGUGUUUGAAUAAUCUCUGAACAAAAUUCAGGUUCCAACAGUGGUAAAUUAAAUCUUGUUACUGCACAUGAUUUGUAUUCAGGUUUUCUACAUGACCCGUCGUAAUAUUAUGAUACAUUCUGUUAAAACCUGGCAAUGGUCUGAAACUGUUGUAGUCCUAUAGAAAGUAAAAGUAGUUGGAUGGGAAUAGUGUAUUUAUCAAAGCUAGUUGGACAUCCCUGUUCUUGAUUAAGAUAAUUCAGUUCGUCCAUUCCAUAUGUUUGCCGCUAGUAGAAAUUAUGGAAGCUAAAAGGCCAAAUCAAGCUCAGUCAUCUCAUUUUACCGCUAGUAGAUUUCAGACUUUUAUUAUGUUGUGCGCACACACACAUACAACACGUUCGGCACAGUCGCGGCGGCGGCACUGUCGGCUACUUAUCUGUACUCCUCACCAGAGUUUGAAGUGGCAGAGUGAGCUCGUUAGCAUGGCAUGAGAAGUGGUAUUUGAUAAAAUAAAGCAUGUCAGAUCAUGUCACUCCUUAGUACUUGUAUGGUUUAUUCACGUGUGAUGCUCCUCUUUGGCCAUUUGGCUGAGUGAGUAGAACUAGACGAAGUAAGGGCCGCGUGAACUGCACGGCCAUUUGUGCUGAAAAUUAAGUGGGCGCUGGUUCAGCAAGCAACGACCCAAUGUGUCAGUCUAUUUCAGAAAGAAGAGGUCCUGUUGGUUCAGUAAGCAAAACACUCGAGAGGUCCCUGUCUAUUUGAGAAAAAGGAAAGUGCAACAAAAAUGUCAAACAUCGCGUGCAUGGACUGGAUUAAUCUUCUGGCCUGCAUUCCAGCAUUUACCUCAAAUUUUGACCAGGAUGUAUGACUUUGUUAAACAGCAAUGUCCAGAUUGUGCAGCUUAGGUGUGCAUCAGUUUUGUUUUCAUCAGGCUUUACUUACUUCAAUUUAGUUUCAUUUUCGCAUUACUUCUUUUCGACAUGGGUUGGAGUGGGAGCUAUGAUAUUCUCUUUUGACGAUAUACGACUAUUUGAAAGAGUAUAAGCAAAUAAUUAUAUUUAGUACAAAUGCGAUAGGGGACAUGUGUUUGAACUUCCUCUGGUUUUGAGAGAGUUUAGCCACUCCAUAUAUUUCCUCUCUGGCAAGUCAUUUUGCCUAUGAUAUAUUGUAUCCCUUUCUUUCUAACCUGAAAGUUAGCAUGUCAAUUUUAAAUUAAUUAGAGCUCAUUUCUUCGCAUGGUUCACUGAUCCAUACUUAAAAAAUGAACUUCCAUUUAGUUCAUAAUGUGUUCUUGGCUUCUUGAUAACUGGAAAUAAGUGUCCUAUGUUUCUGCGUUUAAUGCAGUUUCCCAAUCGUAGAUUUUACUGAUGAAAUAAAUACGUCGAAAGGGGAUUGGACAUGUUACUGACUAAGGAGAUAGCGCUAAACUUUUGUAUUGAUUAUGUUGCUAUUUUCAUACUUCAGUCAAGUUCUUGCCUUAUGUGAUGGGCAGGUUAGUUUACACUUCCUGAAUGCCUCCGUAUUCUGUUAUGGCACUAUUAAAACUUCUAUCCCAUAGGGCACACAACAUUCAGAGGGAAAUUUGUCUGUUCUUAAUACCUUGCUUGUCCAUACGACUAUUGGCUUUUGUUGCCUGUGUAGUAUUUUUUUAAGUGUUUGUAAAUCAUAUAUAUUCUGUAAAUUGUAUAUUUUUUAAUAUUAAGGAACCCAAUUUUUGCGUCUCCAAUUGUAAAACUGACUCUCUCUCUGGAAUUAGGAGAUUAACUCAUUAUAUGCACAAUUUAACUUCUAAAUUAAUCUCCUUUUACAUGUGGUUUAAUUUCAAAAUACACGCAGUGUAGAUACGACUAAAUAUGUAUUGCACACAAUGGAAAAUAUUUGAUAUCAUCGAUUUCUUUGGAUGGGGUUGACAUUUGGGAGAUGCUACACCAUUGGUAAUGAUGACGCUUCAACAACUUACUUAGAUUAUUGUAAUUUCCAAGCAUUCAGUUAUCCUUCCGUAUAUCAUUCUGUACGUUUUGUGCCCGUUGACCAAUUAUUUGGCCUACAGGCCUACCGUGAGUGUCCCACACCUAUUUAGUAGUGUCCCUUCUGCUUACAUAUUGCAAGCAUAGUUCUUAACAGUCCACUUAUUCUUGCUGAAUGACAGGUUUGUGAUUCAUGGCAUUUGGCGCAUCUGCGCUUAAAUUCUUGCUGGAAUGGUAAACAACGAUUCCAUUUGGUACAUAACUGAACUUGAACACCCAUUAUGCAUCUGAUUUCUCUACACUUCAAUCAUUCGUGAUUGCUGGGAAGAUGAGUUUCAUAAUCUGCACAAGAAAUAUGAAAGAAAAGAAAGUCGGACUAGAUGUCUCCACCCACGCCUCGACUAUCGGGUUAUUCUCUGUUCUUUCUUUCCUUGUCCUCUUCUCUCUUCUAUAAAUUCAUCAAAUUUGAUUAUUCUAUUUAAGAACUAGAUAAAAUAGAAAUAUUCAUGUAUAGGACAAUCAUAUGUCAUGUUUGUCUUCAUAGUGCAGGUGAUGUAAUGCACCAUUUCACAAGUAAGAAUGGGACAAAGGCUACUACGCGCGCUCAAUAAAUUUUAUAGUUUUGGAUAGAAAAGGGGGAGCUGCAUAAGAAUUAAUUAUAGGGCAGUUGUAUGUGUGGAUACAGACACGGAAGUAAGGAAUGGUAUAUAAAUGAUAUCAUAUAAAUAAAUUGGUGGGCAGAAGUUGGUCUGAUUUUAUGGGAUUAAUUAAUCCUGUAUGUGCUUGCCAAUUUUGGUUAGUAAGUAUCAGGUAGCAGCUAUCUUUUCAUAAUCCUUCUUCCACUUCUUGAUGCACCUAUCUUUUGCUUUCAGGUUACCAUUAACAAAAUGAAGAAAACCAACAAUUUAUUUUUGUAGUAAACGGCAAUACGAUGUGAAGAUAUUCAAGAGAAUCUGGUCUUAUUUUUCUGAUCCCUAUGGUCCCUGUGAAGCAUCAACUAUAUCAGCAUUUUGAAGCUUAGAAUGGCUAAUGCUGAUUGUUUAGAGCUUAGUUAUAAUGAUUUCUUGUGCAUCAUGUUAUAUUGUACAAGUGAUUGCAACUGAUUUAUUUUCAGAGUUAUUAUUAUUUACAUGUAUAAGUUUAGGGCUGACCUUUUA